rnacentral:rRNA from 1 species
AGCUCCAAUAGCGUAUAUUAAAGUUGUUGUGGUUAAAAAGCUCGUAGUUGGAUUUCGGCGGGGAGGGGGUGGUUUGAAUUGAUUCCACACUGACUUUUUUACCCGUGUGUUUUGCCAGAAUCUUACGGGGGGUCUUUACCGCUUGUCCGGUGGAACUGGCAGGGUUUACUUUUAAAAAAUUAGAGUGCUCAAAGCAAGCUUACUGCUUGAAUAGUUGCGCAUGGAAUAAUAGAAUAGGAAGUCGUUUCUAUUUUGUUGGUUUUCGGAAAUCGACUUAAUGAUUAAUAGGGAUAGUCGGGGGCAUUCGUAUUCAAACGACAGAGGUGAAAUUCUUGGACCGUUUGAAGACGAACUAAGGCGAAAGCAUUUGCCAAGAAUGUUUGCA